ensembl:lncRNA
GAAAAGCUCUUCUAGAUCAGCGCCAUCUAGAGACAUACUUCAGACUGCAGCGCUUGAAAGAUGUGAUGUCCAAUCAGCAUGCUACAUUAAUGAGGGGAAAAAUUCAAAGACAAAGACAAGAGAUGAAGCUCUAUGAUUCCAGACCUAGAGAAGGACAUAGAGAACAGACACUUGUCAGCCUUCAGAGGGCCACCAGAUCAACCCUCACACAUGAUGAUGCAUACCUGAGGUGUCUGCCUAAAACACGCUACUAUCUGGUGAGGCCAGCAUUAUAUCCUGCUUUCUCUCUCCGUAGAUAUUUACUUGGACUUUAAGUGAUUAGACUUUAAAUGAUUAAAAUGCACAUUAUUAACCAUCUCUAAUCUGGCGUUCAUGAGGUUCUGGAAUUGCAGAAAGGGCUUAAACGACUCUGGUGUCUUCAGAGCCGCAGGGAAUGGGGGUUCAGGGUCUGGACAGAACCACACAGAAGCACAUGUCAACUUGAGAAGCAACUACAAGCAGCGGAUGCCAGUCUCAGUAAGAGUGGGUGGAGGAGGGGUGAACGCUUUCCAACAGCAGGGCAAACAGAGUUUGGGACAAGACGAAACUGAGCUCAUGUUUCUUGAGGCCUCUGGAUCUCUGAACCAAUAACUGGCCGGAAUGCCCACAUCAAAGCGGAGAUCAGCCAAUCAGAACUUUCCUGAGCAAAGCAUGGAGAACGUUUUACCUGGAGAGUAUUUAAUUGGGUGCAUCUCAAGUCUUGGGCAUUUUUUGACUGGAGAGCUCGAGAAGUUUGGAUUUUUUUCUCUUGUU